rnacentral:lncRNA from 1 species
CAUACCAUAAUUUACUUUAAUAAUCUCCUGUUAUUGAGUGUUUAGGUUGUGUCCCAGUUUCCAUCCCUCCUGCUCCCCGUUAAGCCUUGUUGUGAAAACAUUCUGACGAUUGGGGUUUUGGCGGAGAGGGCGGGUGUCAGCUGGUUUGAGCCUGCCCAGGUGAGCUCAGCAGCUCCCACCUCCACCUUGGAGGGGAGGAGACUUUGGAUUUCUCAGAGACAGUUGGACCCUCGCUGGGUGGGCCUGUGCCCGAGGCGCCUUGAGGACAACACAGAGAGCAACCUCCAGGGAAAAUUCCCAGGAGUUAGUUGCCUCGUUCAAAGAUCUGAACAUCUUCUGGCGCUUGACACAUUUUGCUGGAUUGCUCUUCAGAAGGACCACACCUCAUGCGUUGCUACCAGCAAUGGGUGCCAGGUGUUUCCCAGCCUUGCACCAGUGGAUGGUCUCUUGGCUCGUGUUUUACCCCUGCUGAUUUAAAAGGUGAACCGUGGUCCCUUAGAGUUUUUAAGAUGUUUAUUUUGGGUAUAAGGCUAUUUAUUGAAGUUUAAAAAUGGACCUGGCCACAACUAGAAGGACCCACAAUGAAGAAUAUACAACUAUGUACCGGGGGGCUUUGGGGAGAAAAAGGAAAAAAUAAA